UACGAAGGGGGCUAGCGUUGCUCGGAAUUACUGGGCGUAAAGCGCACGUAGGCGGAUUGUUAAGUCGGGGGUGAAAUCCUGGAGCUCAACUCCAGAACUGCCUUCGAUACUGGCGAUCUCGAGUUCGGGAGAGGUGAGUGGAACUGCGAGUGUAGAGGUGAAAUUCGUAGAUAUUCGCAAGAACACCAGUGGCGAAGGCGGCUCACUGGCCCGGUACUGACGCUGAGGUGCGAAAGCGUGGGGAGCGAACAGG
rnacentral:rRNA from 1 species